GUCGGUGUAGCUCAGUGGUAGAGCGGCAGCCUGAAAAGCUGUGUCAGCGGUGGUUCGAUUCCACUCACCGACA